AAUGACUUUCAUUUGAGUUAAAUUGUCGUUCCAUGGUUCAUCGUAGUCCUUCAUCAACACAUAGAUGCGACCCUCUGCGCCAAACAACAAUGCCGUUGUAAAAGUUAUAUAAUCAGCGAUUUGGAAAAACAAUUCGGUUCCAUCAGCCAAGUUUAUGAUUGCAGUUUAUAUUCUCGAUAGCAACCUGUAAAUCAAUCCAACAGGACGUGGACACCCAUUACGUGCUACCGACACCAUGUCUAUCUGGUUCUACACCGCUUCAACGUGUGUCCAUGUGCAAUUUUCUUUUGAUUUUGUUCGUUCUUGCCCUGAUCUGAUCCAACCAACACCAAAACCCGCUGAAGUUGACAGAAACACCGUCCACCGACGUCCGAAUCCGAACUUCUCCACGCCAAUUUUCCGAUUUAUUCCUUUUUUCUCCUUUUUGCACAACUGCACGCGAUUGUGCUCCGGUUGGCAAUCAAAUAAAUAUAUUUUGACAGAUGACAGGUGUCUCCCGAAUGCCCCGAACUUCUCUACAACAGCGAUCGACCGCAAAAGCCAAUCCACCGUCGCAAAUAUUCCCAAUAAUUUCUAUCGCUCUGCGCACCGGAAUUUUACGUGUCCCCAGCAGCAUAUACCUCGUGGGAAAUCGAUAGCGCAUUAAUCUCACUCGCGCGCACAAACAAACAAAAACGUGCCGGAGUAAACAAAAACGAGGCGAAUAAAUAAAUUCUCAAGACCACGCCGUGCAAAUGCUUUACCUAAAUGUGAGGUAAAACGAAAGAAAAAACAACCAGGAGUAAAACACAGCUAAACGCAAAGUUUUUACAAUGAAAAACACUAAAUUAAUUGCAUGUUCUUUAACAACUAUUUAAA